UACGGGGGGGGCAAGCGUUGUUCGGAAUUACUGGGCGUAAAGGGCUCGUAGGCGGCCCUCUCAGUCGGAUGUGAAAUCCCCAGGCUCAACUUGGGAACUGCGUCUGAUACUGGAUGGCUUGAAUUCGGGAGAGGGAUGCAGAAUUCCAGGUGUAGCGGUGAAAUGCGUAGAUAUCUGGAGGAACACCGGUGGCGAAGGCGGGUCUCUGGGCCGAUACUGACGCUGAGGAGCGAAAGCGUGGGGAGCGAACAGG
rnacentral:rRNA from 1 species